UGGGCCGGCCUGAGAAAUAAAAUUUAGAAUAAUGAAAUCAUCCUGGAAACCAGACUGUGGAAAAAGCAUUUUAUUUUGUUUUGUUUUGUUCUCCACGUGAAAAUAAGGCUCAGAGAACACCCACCCCACCCGCUCUCAGUGCUGCCCCUCAUCAGCCUGUGCCCGGUGCUCAGGGUGGGAGAGCUCCCACAGGCUCCCUCUCCCUCCGGAGACCUUUCAAGCACUGCGCCCUCCCUGCCUGACUUAAGCAGCUGGGAAAAAAGAUGUGAGGCUGCUGGCCUUAGUUCCUCGCCUCACUUGCAUGGAGUGGACUCCUCUCUGGGCUGGCCAUGUCUACAAGGGUCUAAACAGAGGGAAGAAGGAGGGUGGCUAGCCUCUUGGAGGACAGGCAGAAGCAGCUGACACAGAAGCCAUCUGGAGAGGUUUUCAGAGCUUUUAUUUGGAAACUUAGGGACAACGCCAGGUCUUCCGUGAAUUCCCAGGAGUUGACAGCAGCCAUGGGGGCAGGGUCUGUUUUGCCCUGCUUUCCACCAGGCGCCAGAGUGGAUCUGAAACAGACAGUGACCGAUCGAUGGUCCUUCUGAGGCAGCAGCUCACCGACCCCAGCCGGCGGCGAGGAACAAAGUGCUCGCAGUUGGGAAAGAACGGGUUCCAAGGACCUCGUGGGAGCCAGGGGAGAGCGCUGUAUCUGGUUGUUGGAAGGAGGCUGGAGCUGCUUGGAGUUGCACUCUAGCCCCUGCAGGCACCUGGGAACAAUUCCGUGCCAUUCCCACCACCUGCGCCCGGGCCUCGGGACAGUCACCAUCCCAUCACUCCCUAGGAACUGUGGGGCUCCCCAGUUCUCCAGUAGACACCAUCUCACUCUGUCUUCAGUCUAGACUAGGAGGGAGGCAUUGGUUUCCAUGACUUCAAAGGGUGGGUGUUAUGCUGCCUAGAGCAGGACCUGCCCAAGGCCUCAGAGCUGCUUGGUAAAUUCAAAUCCAGGACUUGUUCAAGUGCCUUAGUGUUCUUGGGUUAGAGCAGGAAGCUGAAUGCCUUGAGUGAAGCUUGUUCAAGAUGAGGCUCCAGAAAAGUCUCUGGGAACCACCCCUCCUCCCAGCU
rnacentral:lncRNA from 1 species